rnacentral:misc_RNA from 1 species
UCCUGGUUUCCCAGGCAGUCCCAUCAAAGUGCCCAUAAAAAUGGUUGCAACUGAUAGUAGGAGUUGCGCUCGUUAGAGGACUUAACCAGACAUCUCACGACACGAGCUGACGACAGCCAUGCAGCACCUGUUCACUUGUCUAGACAAAAGCCUAGAAGAUCAUGUUUCUAUGACUGUCAAGUGUAUGUCAAGCCUAGGUAAGGUUUCUCGCGUAGUGUCGAAUUAAACCACAUGUUCCACCGCUUGUGCGGACCCCCGUCAAUUCCUUUGAGUUUUAGUCUUGCGACCGUAGUUCCCAGGCGGAUCACUUAACGCGUUAGCUACGACACUGACCCCGCAAAGCAGAGCCAACAUCAAGUGAUCAUCGUUUACAGCGUGGACUAC